GCCCAAAUUCGCACGUGCCCGUGGUCGUCCACGUAGAAGUGCCAAACUUCUGACGGGGCCGCUGAUGAUCCAUCAAGGGAUGGCUCAGCAAACCGGACGGCUUAAAGCAACGACGUAAGAGGGCCUUU
rnacentral:sRNA from 1 species